GAUUUAGCCAUGCAUGUCUAAGUAUCGUGAUUAUAGUGCAAAACUGCGAAUGGCUCAUUAUAACAGUUGUAAUUUGAUUGAUUUGACUUUUAAAUGGAUAUCCCUGGUACAUCCAGGGCUAAUACAUGCCUGAACGGAUUUUAUCCGUGCUUUGAGAACUAUACAAACACGAGUUUGUGAAUGUGUCUCACCAAGUAAAUCAUUUUGAUAAAUCAAAGAAGCUUCUGACCCAUCAGCUUUGAUGGUAGUGUAUUGGACUACCAUGGCUUCUACGGGUGACGAGGAAUUAGGGUUCGAUUUCGGAGAGGGAGCUUGAGAAAUGGCUACCACAUCUAAGGGAGGCAGCAGGCGCGCAAAUUACCCAAUCCUGACCAAGGGAGGUAGAGACGAGCAGUAGCAAUGAGAAGCCUUUGGUUUCUCAAUUGGAAUGGGUGUGUGUUAAAUCUUCACACGAGUAACCAUUGGAGGGAAAGUCUGGUGCCAGCAGCCGCGGUAAUUCCAGCUCCAAUAGCGUAUUUUAAAGUUGUUGCGGUUAAAACGUUCGUAGUCGUAUUUCUGCUUCGGGUGUUUCCUUUCCAAAGGGGACAUUCGAGCAUUAGUGUGGGCGGUUUUCGUCACUUAACUGUGCCGAUGCAUAAACCCGCACUGAUUAUUUUGAGGAAAUUAGAGUGUUUAAAACAAGCAUGGUAUGAAUAUAAUAGCAUGGGACAAUGUGAAACGGGGACGAGAUUAGCGUGGCUUUUGGCUCGGCCCAAUUUUCAAAAGGAGCAUUUGGGGGUAUUCGUAUUGAGCUGCUAGAGGUGAAAUUCUUGGAUUUUUUUAAGACGAACAAAUGCGAAAGCAUUUACCAAGGAUGUUUUCAUUGAUCAGAACGAUAGUUAGGGGAUCGAGACGAUUAGAUACCGUCCUAGUCUACAGUAAACUAUGCGACUAG
rnacentral:rRNA from 1 species